GACAGUUUGGCCGAGUGGUCUAAGGCGCCAGAUUUAGGCUCUGGUCCGAAAGGGCCUGGGUUCAAAUCCAACAGCUGUCA
rnacentral:tRNA from 1 species